GACGUAGGGGACGAGCGUUGUCCGGAUUCAUUGGGCGUAAGCGCGCGUAGGCGGUUACGCAAGUCGGUUGUGAAAAUCCGGGGCUCAACCCCGGACCUGCAUCCGAUACUGCGUGACUAGAGGUAGGUAGGGGAGAUCGGGAAUUCCUGGUGUAGCGGUGAAAUGCGCAGAUAUCAGGAGGAACACCGGUGGCGAAGGCGGAUCUCUGGGCCUUACCUGACGCUCAGGCGCGAAAGCUAGGGGAGCGAACAGG
rnacentral:rRNA from 1 species